UACAGAGGGGGCUAGCGUUGCUCGGAAUCACUGGGCGUAAAGCGCACGUAGGCGGACUCUUAAGUCAGGGGUGAAAUCCUGGAGCUCAACUCCAGAACUGCCUUUGAUACUGGGAGUCUUGAGUUCGGGAGAGGUGAGUGGAACUGCGAGUGUAGAGGUGAAAUUCGUAGAUAUUCGCAAGAACACCAGUGGCGAAGGCGGCUCACUGGCCCGAUACUGACGCUGAGGUGCGAAAGCGUGGGGAGCAAACAGG
rnacentral:rRNA from 1 species